rnacentral:lncRNA from 1 species
AAGGUUUAGAAUUAAAGGGUGGGGUUUAGGAUUUAAGGUUUAGGGUUUAGGGUUUAGAGUUUAGGGUUUAGGGUUUAGGGUUUAGAGUUUAGGGUUUAGAGUUUAGUGUUUAGGGUUUAGGGUUUAGGGUUUAGGGUUUAGGGUUUAGAGUCGAGAAAUGAGGUUUUGGGGAUAAGAUUUCAAAUUUUAAAAAAUAAAAAAAUUAAAAUUUUCAAAGGAUAAACUUAGAAAGGUGCUAUUUUGGUCAUUUUAGUUUUUGAGUGAUAUUUUUGUGAUAUAAAUUUAGAAAUGUUCUAUUUUGGAGAUUUGCCCAUAAAACAAUAGUAUCAAGCUCACAUUAACAAUCUCCUUCUUUGGAGAAUAGGCUGAAUUUAAAAUGACUUUGUUGAACUGUUGAAAAUCUCCUUUACAUAUAUAUAUAUAAAUACAAUAGGUUUACCAUAUAUUUUUUUCAGGUACCGCUAUUAUAUAAUAUUUAUG